CAUUUGAAAUGCCAACCAGGAGGCUCCCUCGAGGUCUCCAGAGGAACAGUCUGGGAUGCUCACUGAACAUCCAUCUGCUCAGCAGCAGUGCUCGCAAGUGUUUCACCGGGACAGAAGAGACUCUGGAAGCUGAAGGGCUGCAACUGCAAGCCUGCGCGUUUGGACUGCUGAGCCAGCAGAGAAGUGGGCGAGGAGAAGCGAGACGGACCCUUGGAUGCCAACAUGCAGGUGCAGACCUUUCCGCUGUAAGCCCCAUAACCACAAGCCAGCCCAAAAGGACAGUUGGUACUGCGGACAUAACUGAGUGAAGUACAGCAUCGUGAAACUGCAGGAACGCUGUGACAGGUAGGGACCGGCAGUCGUCCUAUUUGGAUACGGCUCUGCUACCACCGCUCUGCAUAUGAAUGAUCCCAUCCGCAAAUCAAACUGAACGCUUAUCACAGCACAAAGCACUUGAUGAAGACUAAUGAUUCCAACGUCGGAGACUGCCCACGUAGCUUACCCUGUGGGAAAGCUCUGCCGAUAAGAGCUUUGAAGGUACUGCGGUGGGGGUGGAGAGCGUCUUCCCCCAGAUAGUCACAGCAGGAGCCCACAGGUCAUUUGUAUUGCUGUCACACGACGCUGAGAUGUCGACAUGGGCGGGAUAUUGUUGUGAGCAGAGUCUGCCGCUGUGAUAGCCUAGAAUGGCCAUGAACCUAGAAAGAAAAGAUUUAGGGGCCAGUGCUGAAUUGAAAGAGAUGAAGAGGGGCGUAGUAUUUUAUAGAACAUUGAUAAGAUCAUCACUUGAUUUGUUUUUUCCCAGAAUAAUCUCAUACCAUUCAUCAGAAAAGGCGCUAAGGCAGCAAUGUGGAUGUCCAGCCCAGUGGAAAUGGUUUCGCAUGAUCUCUGAACUGGACGAAACAUUGGCAAGGGGUGCUGGCAACUGAUGGCAAAGGGUUGGUCACGUAUCCCACCGCCAGGUGUGUGCUGAGCAUCCUGCACGACCUCGUGGUUGUCACAGCAGCACAGGGACUGCACUGACUGAGGACCCACAGACCAACGUGAGACCCCUUCUCACACCUGCUGUAAAUGGAUGCCACGUGAAGAGUGCUGAGCGUAAGAUUCCUUGGGUUUCUCACAGGAUGCAAAGAGCCACCUCCAUGUUUACAGCACUGGAAUUGUAAGAUUUUCACCCUUCGGUCAUUUUUUUCCUUGAUUUUAUCGCAAGUUUUCUAUUACGGAGUACUCUUCCUAAGGAUACUUUACAUAAAAGACAAAAUAAAUGUAAUUGCAUC
ensembl:lncRNA